CCUACGGGAGGCAGCAGUGGGGAAUUUUGGACAAUGGGCGCAAGCCUGAUCCAGCCAUGCCGCGUGCGGGAAGAAGGCCUUCGGGUUGUAAACCGCUUUUGUCAGGGAAGAAACGCUCCGAACUAAUACUUUGGGGUAAUGACGGUACCUGAAGAAUAAGCACCGGCUAACUACGUGCCAGCAGCCGCGGUAAUACGUAGGGUGCAAGCGUUAAUCGGAAUUACUGGGCGUAAAGCGUGCGCAGGCGGUCUUGUAAGACAGAGGUGAAAUCCCCGGGCUCAACCUGGGAACUGCCUUUGUGACUGCAAGGCUUGAGUACGGUAGAGGGGGAUGGAAUUCCGCGUGUAGCAGUGAAAUGCGUAGAUAUGCGGAGGAACACCGAUGGCGAAGGCAAUCCCCUGGACCUGUACUGACGCUCAUGCACGAAAGCGUGGGGAGCAAACAGGAUUAGAUACCCUGGUAGUCCACGCCCUAAACGAUGUCAACUGGUUGUUGGGAAGGUUCCUUCUCAGUAACGUAGCUAACGCGUGAAGUUGACCGCCUGGGGAGUACGGCCGCAAGGUUGAAACUCAAAUGAAUUGACGG
rnacentral:rRNA from 1 species